rnacentral:rRNA from 1 species
UACGUAGGGUGCAAGCGUUGUUCGGAAUCAUUGGGCGUAAAGCGAGUGUAGGCUGUUAGUUAAGUCUGAUGUGAAAUCCCUCAGCUCAACUGAGGAAGUGCAUUAGAAACUGGCUAGCUAGAAGAUGGUAGAGGAAGGUGGAAUUCCAAGUGUAGAGGUGAAAUUCGUAGAUAUUUGGAGGAAUACCGGUGGCGAAGGCGGCCUUCUGGGCCACUCUUGACGCUGAGACUCGAAAGCGUGGGUAGCAAACAGG